rnacentral:rRNA from 1 species
UACAGAGGUGGCAAGCGUUGUUCGGAAUUACUGGGCGUAAAGCGCGUGUAGGCGGCUCUUCAAGUCAGGCGUGAAAGCCCCGGGCUCAACUCGGGAACUGCGCUUGAUACUGUCGAGCUAGAGUGUGGAAGGGGCGAUUGGAAUUCCGUGUGUAGCGGUGAAAUGCGUAGAUAUGCGGAGGAACACCUAUGGCGAAGGCAAUCCCCUGGGCCUGCACUGACGCUCAUGCACGAAAGCGUGGGGAGCAAACAGG